rnacentral:tRNA from 1 species
GGGACGGUGGCGAAGUGGUAACGCGGCGGUCUGCAAAACCGCCAUGCGAGGGUUCGAUUCCCUCCCGUCCCUCCA